rnacentral:tRNA from 1 species
GCUUAAAUAGUUUAAAUAAAAUGUUACUUUGUGGGAGUAUGUGUUGCUGUUGCUUUGAGUU